rnacentral:misc_RNA from 1 species
UACACGCAUUUCACUACAGAGGGAGAGGUGGAGUUUAGGAGUGUUCUAUACAUACCUGGAAUGGGACCUCUUAACAAUGAGGAGGUUGUGAAUCCAAAAACAAAGAAUAUACGCUUGUAUGUGAAGCGGGUAUUUAUCUCUGAUGAUUUUGAUGGAGAGCUGGUAAGUGUUGCUAUGACUUGAUAGCUUGAAAUCCCGAGUAUUGCUCUGUAUUGUGUAUGGCUUUUCUUUCCCAUGGCCAUGUAGUACUAUGUUCUUGACUAACCACUGUAAACAGAAGUUUAAUUGGGGAAAAUCUGUAUAUAUGCUUUUAUUUGUGGUCUGGAUGUUUGGCACUAAUUAUGUAUAUUUUUCUGCUAAUAGAAAAUCACAUUAUUGGAGAUAUAAAUGAACAUGAUGUUGUUAUAAGCUAAAUUAAAUUCAAUGUUUUAGUUUGUCUGCUAGUAAGUUAUGUGAAAUAUUUAUGUUUGUAUUUAUAGGAAUGUGAGGUUAGAAUUUCCUCAGAGCAAUAAGCUGAAUGUGAUUUUCUGGCAGUUUCCACGAUAUCUGAGCUUUGUGAAGGGUGUGGUUGACUCUGAUGAUCUUCCUCUUAAUGUCUCUCGAGAAAUUCUUCAAGAGAGCCGAAUUGUAAGAAUUAUGAGAAAGAGACUUGUCAGGAAAACAUUUGACAUGAUUCAAGAGCUCUCAGAAAGUGAAAAUAAGGAGGAUUACAAGAAAUUCUGGGAGAAUUUUGGCAGGUUUCUCAAAUUAGGAUGUAUUGAAGACACUGGUAAUCACAAGCGCAUAACUCCUUUGCUGCGGUUCUACACCUCCAAAAGUGAGGAUGAACUCACAACCUUAGAUGAGUAUGUUGAGAACAUGGGGGAACAGCAGAAGGCUAUCUAUUACCUGGCAACAGACAGCUUGAAAAGUGCUAAGAGUGCUCCAUUCUUGGAGAAGUUGGUUCAGAAAGGAAUUGAGGUUCUUUACUUAAUUGAGCCUAUUGAUGAAGUUGCCAUCCAGAACCUGCAGACCUACAAAGAAAAGAAAUUUGUUGAUAUCAGCAAGGAAGAUCUAGAACUUGGUGAUGAGGAUGACGUCAAAGAAAGGGAAACUAAACAGGAAUUCAAUCUCCUUUGUGAUUGGAUCAAGCAACAGCUUGGUGACAAGGUUGCCAAAGUCCAAGUUUCAAAGCGUCUAAGCUCAUCUCCAUGUGUGCUUGUUUCUGGAAAGUUUGGUUGGUCAGCCAAUAUGGAGAGGUUGAUGAAAGCACAAGCUCUUGGAGACACUUCCAGCUUGGAGUUCAUGAGAGGAAGGAGAAUAUUGGAGAUUAAUCCAGAUCACCCCAUUAUUAAAGACUUAAGUGUAUGCUGUUCUACCCUCUGAUGGUUGAUAUUGUUGAAGCGAUAAUAUUUUGCGUUAUUUCUUUAUUCUGGAGUUUUAUCCCUUACAAAUAAUUCAUGAAGUAAUGGAGAACAUGAUGUGGGAAGGCAGUCUAAAAAGUAGGGAUGUUGAAGGAAUUCAAAUUGGUUGAGCUGAAUUGGGAAAUGAAAUAAUGGAAUACCCGUGAUAAUGGAAUGUUUUGUGAAUAUGAUAAUCAUAUUAGUGUGCUAUUAAAGUGGACAACAAUAACCUUCCAGGAAAUUAUUAGACAUCUCCCUUAAUUAGCUACCGACUUAUUUUUAAUUAGGCUGUCCAUCUCUGUUAUAGUAACUGGAACUACAUUUUUCUUCACACUAGUUUUAUUUAUCCUCAUAGUUUUUCUUUGAACUACAUUUUUUGUACUUGUAAUUUUUGAGGACACAGAUGACAUUGACAAGUAGAUGACUAGAUGCAGUAGUAUGCUUGGUAAGAGUUAUGUAUUAAGGGAAGAAGCAGCAAUUGGGCACUAAUCAACUAAAUUAUAGUCAACUAGUGAUAUAAAAUUUUUAUCAAUAUACAUGAAUGUCAAGUGUGAUUUUAUAUUUUUGAUUCACACUUAACAUUAAGAGAAGCAAGAUUUAAGAAAAAGAAAGGAGAUAUCAUGCCAUCCCUUGACAUCAGUUCUGAGGAGUCUUGAGGUAAUCGAGAUACUAAUGUUUGCAUGGGUAGUUUGACAAGCACUAGACUACUAGCAGUCAAGACUCAAUAGUAGUAAUUGCUGAUUGUAGAAACAGUGUAGUGUUUUUAAAUGUUGAGUGGAGUAACAGUUAUCCUAUGCUCAAUUUUUUACUGCCCAAAAUUGCAGUGUUUGUAUAUAAUAAUUGACAUUUGAUUUUCAUAAUGUUAAUUAAUACUGGAUGAAAGGUACUGUUCUGUAUAUGAGAUCUAUGAGAGUUGAGAAUGAAGCUGAAAUUGCUUUUUCUAGCUGGUUAUUUAUUUAUUUAUAAUGAUAUUGCUACUUAACAGGCUGCGUGCAAGAAUGCACCUGAUAGCAGCGAUGCGAAGAGAGCUGUUGAUCUCCUAUACGACACAGCAUUGAUCUCCAGUGGAUUCUCGGUGAGGAUGACUGAGGGUUCCUACCCCUUGUUUACAUGAUCCUGCAUAGUUUUCACAAUAAUAUUUUUUCCUGUGAUGUUGCAGCCUGACAGCCCAGCUGAGUUGGGUAAUAAGAUAUAUGAGAUGAUGGCUAUGGCACUCGGCGGAAGAUGGGGCAGAUCUGAAGAUGAUGAAGCAGAGGCAGUUGGUGAUAAUGCUGCAGAAUCUGUUGCUAGUGCUGAUGAAAAUGCAGAGCCAGAAGUAGUUGAACCGUCAGAAGUGAGGGCAGAGAGUGAUCCUUGGAACGAUUAAGUAGUAAUAUAUUAGAAAUUUUUGGCUGUUAUUUUAUUAACCUUGAGGAAAAUAACGCAUGGAAGAGCGUGGAAGAGAGAAAGGCGCAGGUAAAAAUUUUGGUGGGAAAAGAAUACAGAGUCUUUGUGCUCAUGAUUUACAGCUGACGAGAUGAAUCAUUGGGUGUUUGACGUUUGUCAAUGUGAUGAGGUGAAAACAUUUUUAGCAGAAUUGCACUUUUAAUUUUUGCUCUUCCUAUUAAUGCCAUUUGUUACGAUGACAUUUAUCUCUUGAUCUUCUCAAGCUUCCAAAGUAAGGAGCAAGUCUCAAGUAACUUGCUGGUUUCCCUUUCUUCCUAUGAGCGGUAAAGCAAGUAUGAACAAGCUUAUAAGGCUUUGCCCAUUAUAACAACGUGAGUUAUGCUAUAUUUUUAUUCACUCAUCUUUGAGAAAAAAAAAAAAGAGUCAUUUAUUAAACAAUGUAAUUUUUCAUUUCAAU